GGGACGUUGGAGGGGUGGCCGCAUGGAGUGAGUACUGUCUCUGGCCACCGAGCAGAGCCAGUGACAGCAGCGUCCUGGUAGGCAGGCAGGCGUAUCAGGUUUCAGAGGAUGCGGCUGGGAACGGGAGUAGAGGUGAGGGGUCGUUGCAUCUGUCGCGGUGUGUAUCUUUUGGGGGUUCAGCGCCACCAGCGACUUGGGCCUCAUUCAUCGCGCUUACAUUUCUCCACCUCAUUUGAAGAACGAGCUUCGUAGCCCACGGAGCUGAGGUAUAUGAGCUCCCUGAAAGCACAAAGCAGUUAUUUCCAUCUUCAGAUCAUUCAGAGAUUAUGAAGGCACAAACCCUGCCUUCAAUUUGCUUAUAGUCAAGUGGAGCAGACACAAGUCAAUGAUUGCAGUAUAGCCACUGAAGUAAUCUAAAAGAGACUUAUCAGCAGGUUGCAGGUGAACAUGGCCUUGAGGUAAAUCUGUCCCUUGCUGAAUACAGUUUCAGUAGAUUGUUUAUAGUAGUUUCAGGAAUUGAGAUUUUUUACAAAAAUACAAAAGUUUUGCUUGGUUCUGUUCUAGAUGUUUUCUUCUAAAUAAAUGAGAAAGAUGUUUCAACAAAGGCUCUUUAUGCUGAAUAAUUGUGAUGCUUGAAGUUGCUAAUCUGCUUUAAGUGGAUUUUAAAUGUCAGGCAAUUCUAGACAGUUUUUUCUUGGUCAAAUAAAAAUUUAAUUAAAACUUUA
rnacentral:lncRNA from 1 species